rnacentral:rRNA from 1 species
GAUGAACGCUGGCGGCGUGCCUAAUACAUGCAAGUCGAGCGAACAGACGAGGAGCUUGCUCCUCUGACGUUAGCGGCGGACGGGUGAGUAACACGUGGACAACCUACCUAUAAGACUGGGAUAACUUCGGGAAACCGGAGCUAAUACCGGAUAAUAUAUUGAACCGCAUGGUUCAAUAGUGAAAGACGGUUUUGCUGUCACUUAUAGAUGGAUCCGCGCCGCAUUAGCUAGUUGGUAAGGUAACGGCUUACCAAGGCGACGAUGCGUAGCCGACCUGAGAGGGUGAUCGGCCACACUGGAACUGAGACACGGUCCAGACUCCUACGGGAGGCAGCAGUAGGGAAUCUUCCGCAAUGGGCGAAAGCCUGACGGAGCAACGCCGCGUGAGUGAUGAAGGUCUUCGGAUCGUAAAACUCUGUUAUUAGGGAAGAACAAAUGUGUAAGUAACUAUGCACGUCUUGACGGUACCUAAUCAGAAAGCCACUGCUAACUACGUG